AGAGAGUGCAAACGUUGUUCGGAAUUACUGGGCUUGAAGCGCACGUAGGCGGCGUUGUAAGUGUCGGGUGAAAUCCCACGGCUCACCCGUGGAACUGCCCGGCAUACUGCGAUGCUAGAGUGUGGUAGGGGAGAGCGGAACUCCUGGUGGAGCGGUGAAAUGCGUAGAUAUCAGGAGGAACACCGGUGGCGAAGGCGGCUCUCUGGUCCACAACUGACGCUGAGGUGCGAAAGCUAGGGGAGCAAACGGGAUUAGAUACCCCGGUAGUCCUAGCUGUAAACGAUGGGCACUAGCUUGGGGUCUCCCUGUGUGAUCCCAGGUGAAGCAAAAGUGAUAAGUGCCCCGCCUGGGGAGUAUGGUCGCAAGGCUG
rnacentral:rRNA from 1 species